GGUUAUAUUGGUGGCUGGACUUGCAGUUGUUUGGCAAUUGUAUUUUACCUGACUCGAACAAUUUUAAUUCAGAAGCACACUUUUUCUUAUCAGCUUUUACCUGACUCGAACAAUUUUACGCGUACUGUAAUGUAAUGUAGGAAUGUAACCCAAUUUUUGUAUUAUAUCAGCUUUGUUUGGUUGGGCCUAAUUUGGACAUCAAUUGGACUCCUGGGGUGGAUUUCGUAUUUUGCCAUGGGCGCUCUUUCUGGGUCAGAAUUUCUUUCAGGUCGAGAGAAUGCAAGUAGCCGAAAGGUAUAAAUUUUGCUGGUAAAAAAAGAAUCAG
rnacentral:lncRNA from 1 species